AUUGAACGCUGGCGGCAUGCCUUACACGAUGCAAGUCGAACGGCAGCACGGGAGCAAUCCUGGUGGCGAGUGGCGAACGGGUGAGUAAUAUAUCGGAACGUGCCCAGUCGUGGGGGAUAACGUAGCGAAAGCUACGCUAAUACCGCAUACGAUCUAUGGAUGAAAGCGGGGGAUCGCAAGACCUCGCGCGAUUGGAGCGGCCGAUAUCAGAUUAGGUAGUUGGUGAGGUAAAGGCUCACCAAGCCGACGAUCUGUAGCUGGUCUGAGAGGACGACCAGCCACACUGGGACUGAGACACGGCCCCAGACUCCUACGGGAGGCAGCAGUGGGGAAUUUUGGACAAUGGGCGCAAGCCUGAUCCAGCAAUGCCGCGUGCAGGAUGAAGGCCUUCGGGUUGUAAACUGCUUUUGUACGGAACGAAACGGUGAGCUCUAAUACAGUUUGCUAAUGACGGUACCGUAAGAAUAAGCACCGGCUAACUACGUG
rnacentral:rRNA from 1 species